GUAGGUGGCAAGCGUUGUCCGGAAUUAUUGGGGCGUAAAGCGCGCGCAGGCGGUUCUUUAAGACUGAUGUGAAAGCCCACGGGCUCAACCGUGGAGGGUCAUUGGAAACUGGAGAACUUGAGUACAGAAGAGGAAAGCGGAAUUCCACGUGUAGCGGUGAAAUGCGUAGAGAUGUGGAGGAACACCAGUGGCGAAGGCGGCUUUCUGGUCUGUAACUGACGCUGAGGCGCGAAAGCGUGGGGAGCAAACAGGAUUAGAUACCCUGGUAGUCCACGCCGUAAACGAUGAGUGCUAAGUGUUAGGGGGUUUCCGCCCCUUAGUGCUGCAGCUAACGCAUUAAGCACUCCGCCUGGGGAGUACGGCCGCAAAGGCUG
rnacentral:rRNA from 1 species